ensembl:miRNA gga-mir-6663 gga-mir-6663
UUACUGAGCUGAGCAGCUCAUUGCUGUGUGAGGAGUGCUGCCGGAGAUGGGGUCGGCUUCUCCACCCCACAGCAAGAGCUGUUAGCUUCACUUCUGCCUGCGGAGCAUAG